rnacentral:rRNA from 1 species
GCGGGAAGCAGAGCAGAACCCCUUCGGGGGGUGACGCAUGUGGAACGAGCGGCGGACGGGUGAGUAACACGUGGGCAACCUGCCUGUAAGACUGGGAUAACUCCGGGAAACCGGGGCUAAUACCGGAUAGAUACGUUUUCUUGCAUAAGGAGACGUUAAAAGGCGGCGCAUGCUGUCACUUACAGAUGGGCCCGCGGCGCAAUAGCUAGUUGGUGGGGUAAAAGCCUACCAAGGCGACGAUGCGUAGCCGACCUGAGAGGGUGAUCGGCCACACUGGGACUGAGACACGGCCUCAGACUCCUACGGGAGAGCUAGCAGUAGGGAAUCUUGCCGCAAUGGACGAAAGUCUGACGGAGCAACGCCCCGUGAGUGAAGAAGGUUUUUCGGAUCGUAAAACUCUGUUGUUAGGGAAGAACAAGUGCCGUUCAAAUAGGGCGGCACCUUGACGGUACCUAACCUGAAAGUCCCCGGGCUAACUACGUGCCAGCAGCCGCGGUAAUACUUAGAGGGCAAGCGUUGUCCGGAAAUUAUGGGGGCGUAAAGCGCGCGCAAUGCGGUCUUUUAAGUCUGAUGUGAAAGCCCACGGACUUAACCGUGGAGGGCCAUUGGAAACUGGAGGACUUGAGUACAGAAGAGGAGAGUGGAAUUCCACGUGUAGCGGUGAACUGCGUAGAGAUGUGGAGGAACACCAGUGGCGAAGGCGACUCUCUGGUCUGUAACAGACGCUGAGGUGCGAAAGCGUGGGUAGCGAACAGGAUUAGAUACCCAUGGUAGUCCACGCCGUAAACGAUGAGUGCUAGGUGUUAGGGGGUUUUCCGCCCCUUAGUGCUGCAGUUAACGCAUUAAGCACUCCGCCUGGGGAGUACGGCCGCAAGGCUGAAACUCAAAAAGAAUUGACGGGGACCCGCACAAGCGGUGGAGCAUGUGGUUUAAUUCGAGAGCAAGCGCGAAGAACCUUACCAGGUCUUGACAUCCUCUGACGGCCCUAGAGAUAGG